UACAGAGGUCUCAAGCGUUGUUCGGAUUCAUUGGGCGUAAAGGGUGCGUAGGCGGCGCGGUAAGUCGGGUGUGAAAUCUCGGGGCUUAACUCCGAAACUGCAUUCGAUACUGCCGUGCUUGAGGACUGGAGAGGAGACUGGAAUUUACGGUGUAGCGGUGAAAUGCGUAGAUAUCAGGAGGAACACCGAUGGCGAAGGCAGGUCUCUGGGCCACUACUGACGCUGAGAAGCGAAAGCGUGGGGAGCGAACAGG
rnacentral:rRNA from 1 species